UCGAGAAUUUUUCUCAAUGGGCGAAAGCCUGAAGGAGCGACGCCGCGUGGAGGAUGAAGGUCUUCGGGUUGUAAACUCCUGUCAUUUGGGAACAAGUUGGACGCCGUAACUGCGCGUCCAUUGAUAGUACCAGAAGAGGAAGGGACGGCUAACUCUGUGCCAGCAGCCGCGGUAAUACAGAGGUCCCAAGCGUUGUUCGGAUUCAUUGGGCGUAAAGGGUGUGUAGGUGGCGCCGUAAGUGGGGUGUGAAAUCUCGGGGCUUAACUCCGAAACUGCAUUCCAUACUGCGGUGCUUGAGGACUGGAGAGGAGACUGGAAUUCAUGGUGUAGCAGUGAAAUGCGUAGAGAUCAUGAGGAAGACCAGUGGCGAAGGCGGGUCUCUGGACAGUUCCUGACACUGAGACACGAAGGCCAGGGGAGCAAACGG
rnacentral:rRNA from 1 species